AGAACGAACGCUGGCGGCAUGCCUAACACAUGCAAGUCGAACGCUUUUGGGGCUUCGGUCCCAAAGGAGUGGCGCACGGGUGAGUAGCGCGUGGGAACCUGCCCUGUUGUGGGGGAUAACCGAGGGAAACUUCGGCUAAUACCGCAUACGCCCGGGGGAAACUCCGGGGAAAGAUUUAUCGCAGCAGGAGGGGCCCGCGUCGGAUUAGGUAGUUGGUGGGGUAACGGCCCACCAAGCCUGUGAUCCGUAGCUGGUCUGAGAGGAUGAUCAGCCACACUGGGACUGAGACACGGCCCAGACUCCUACGGGAGGCAGCAGUGGGGAAUAUUGGACAAUGGGCGCAAGCCUGAUCCAGCAAUGCCGCGUGAGUGAUGAAGGCCUUCGGGUUGUAAAGCUCUUUCGCACGCGACGAUGAUGACGGUAGCGUGAGAAGAGCCCGGCUAACUUCGCGCCAGCAGCCGC
rnacentral:rRNA from 1 species